rnacentral:rRNA from 1 species
CUACGGGAUGCACCAGUGGGGAAUAUUGCACAAUGGGCGAAAGCCUGAUGCAGCAACGCCGCGUGAGGGACGACGGCCUUCGGGUUGUAAACCUCUUUUAGCAGGGAAGAAGCGAAAGUGACGGUACCUGCAGAAAAAGCACCGGCUAACUACGUGCCAGCAGCCGCGGUAAUACGUAGGGUGCAAGCGUUGUCCGGAAUUAUUGGGCGUAAAGAGCUCGUAGGCGGUUUGUCGCGUCUGCUGUGAAAAUCCGAGGCUCAACCUCGGACCUGCAGUGGGUACGGGCAAACUAGAGUGCGGUAGGGGAGAUUGGAAUUCCUGGUGUAGCGGUGGUAUGCGCAGAUAUCAGGAGGAACACCAAUGGCGAAGGCAGAUCUCUGGGCCGUAACUGACGCUGAGGAGCGAAAGCGUGGGGAGCGAACAGGAUUAGAUACCCGCGUAGUC